AUGCCUGUACUUUCAGGGAUUGUUUCUGUAGUGUCUUACUAGGAACUGUGACUUGGAAGUGUUAUAUUUCUCUAAUCGCAAUGAUGAGUUUUGAUGCAUUCUUCUGAACCUGUAUUAGGUUUUAGCGCAUGAUUCUUUCAUGGGUUAUAACUAUUGAUGAAUGUUCUCUACUUCUUAUGAAGUAUGGGUGGAAGAGUACAUGCUCUGAGUGAU